rnacentral:rRNA from 1 species
GACGAACGCUGGCGGCGUGCUUAACACAUGCAAGUCGAACGGUGACGAGGAGCUUGCUCCUCCGAUCAGUGGCGAACGGGUGAGUAACACGUGAGCAACCUGCCCCUCACUCUGGGAUAACAGUUGGAAACAGCUGCUAAUACCGGAUACGACACAGACAGGCAUCUGUACUGUGUGGAAAGUUUUUCGGUGAGGGAUGGGCUCGCGGCCUAUCAGUUUGUUGGUGGGGUAAUGGCCUACCAAGACGACGACGGGUAGCCGGCCUGAGAGGGCGACCGGCCAACGACUGGGACUGAGACACGGCCCAGACUCCUACGGGAGGCAGCAGUGGGGAAUAUUGGACAAUGGGCGAAAGCCUGAUCCAGCAAUGCGCGUGAGUGAUGAAGGCCCUAGGGUUGUAAAGGCACUUUUGGCGGGAACGAAACGGCGCUUCUAAUACAGAGUGCUAAUGACGGUACCGCAGAAUAAGCACCGGCUAACUACGUGCCAGCAGCCG